GGGGGCUCCUGGGUAUAAAUCAAAAUUUUUUUCUAAUAUAGGAUUUCGCUAUAUUUUUUUAUAAAUAAACUUUAUCAUAUACUUAAAAGAAAAAUGAAAUAAAAAAUGGGGUCACCGUUCAUUUAAGCUCACAAUCAGCCUUCGGAAGAAGCAUACAUUUUUGUUAAUGUCCUUUUUUUCUGUUGAACUAAUAGGAGAAAUAGAGGUAAUAUCGAAAUAAAAAAGUAACCUAAUUACAGAAAUCGCGUAAAUUUUACAAUUAUUUAGUUUAUGUACAGCUUAUAUGAAAACAAUGAUAAAAAAUAUAGGUCAC
rnacentral:lncRNA from 1 species